GCACUUGUGGCGCAAUGGAUAGCGCUUUCGACUUCGGAUCGAAGGGUUGCGGGUUCGAGUCCCGUCAAGUGUA
rfam:Salpingoeca sp. ATCC 50818 unplaced genomic scaffold supercont1.3, whole genome shotgun sequence.